AUUGAACGCUGGCGGCAUGCUUUACACAUGCAAGUCGAACGGUAACAGGCCGCAAGGUGCUGACGAGUGGCGAACGGGUGAGUAAUGCAUCGGAACGUGCCCAGUCGUGGGGGAUAACGCAGCGAAAGCUGUGCUAAUACCGCAUACGAUCUGUGGAUGAAAGCGGGGGACCGUAAGGCCUCGCGCGAUUGGAGCGGCCGAUGUCAGAUUAGGUAGUUGGUGGGGUAAAGGCUCACCAAGCCGACGAUCUGUAGCUGGUCUGAGAGGACGACCAGCCACACUGGGACUGAGACACAGCCCAGACUCCUACGGGAGGCAGCAGUGGGGAAUUUUGGACAAUGGGCGCAAGCCUGAUCCAGCAAUGCCGCGCGCAGGAAGAAGGCCUUCGGGUUGUAAACUGCUUUUGUACGGAGCGAAAAGGCUCUCUCUAAUACAGGGGGCUCAUGACGGUACCGUAAGAAUAAGCACCGGCUAACUACGUGCCAGCAGCCGCGGUAAAAC
rnacentral:rRNA from 1 species